AAGAAACGUGACGUUGAUUACAUAAAUGUAAUGAUGCAUCCGUAAAUGGUAAUAAAUUAGCUUGUCAAGGUCAUAUUUCAACAUUAGUAGGCUACACCAAGUCGCUAAAAUCAAAAUUCUAAAAGGAAAAUAAAACUCACAUUAAUACUCAGAUUUCGUGGCAUGGUGUGUUUCUUUUUUCUCUACUGUAAACACCACAAACAAAAUUCUACGAGUUAAAACCGGUGGGUGCAACAGAAUGGUGCUAACUUCCCUUAACUUGAAAGUUCGGCAAUCCCUAGAGUACCAUUCUAUCACUCCUUUUCUGGAUGCUGUUUAACGAUGGAGGGAAAAUUACUCUCCCAUCCCCUUAAAAAAAUAAUGGGGCGAAUGGCGAGAAAACAGGUGGUUAAUUGACUUCAUACCUAACAAUUUGUAAAUAGUGAAAAUAUUGCUAACAUAAUUUUACAUAUGUCUCUUUUCCCAUGUUAGAAUCGUUCACAAUCACAACUUUUGUCCUUUUUUAUUUUGUCAUGCCAUUACGGUUUGCUGGUACGACACCGAGGUUACUCUAUAAAUUUUAGAAGGCGUACCAUGAAGUCUUUCAGUAAUCGCCAUGGAAUAAUGACAAAUGUCUUCGGAUUUCACUUGGACAGCAUUUGCCUGAAUGCCCCCGAAAACGUGUUUUGUUCGGAACCCGUUUUUCAUACGCGAUGAAAGACGAGUGGAGAUAAGAUGGAUAGGGAAUAAUUAUCUUUCCCCCAGACUUUCUUGGUGAUGGUUUGGUGAAAAAUGAUCAAGUUUUUCAAAAGCGCCAAUUUCCUGUUCUUCUGUGGAGCAAGUGGAAAGAAAAGGGUUAUGCUGUGGGGUAAAUGAAAAUGGCGACGAUCCUACGCCAUCUAGCGAGCCGUUGUGUAAUACUCAAUGGCUCCCUGUAAACACAACUAAAUGAACAGGCAAAGACCAUAGAGAGUGUAAGUACGAUUUAAAUAAUAUUUAAAAAUGUUCGUGUUUAACAAAAAAGGAUGUUCAUUUAUGUUCAUUAGAGAUGUUUCUGUUUCCAUAACCCUACCUUGUGUGUCUAUUUGCAUACUUUAACCACCCCCUCUAAUAAAAAAAAAACGAAAAAAAAAAAAAACGUGAGCGUUGACAUUUGCAUGCCCUUCUGGGCUUCCACACAAGUGCACGUUAAUUAAUCUCGUUAUCGAAAAAAGCGUUUGCUUUGUUGGCUGGCAAUAGGGGCAUUGACUUUUUUUUUUUUUUAAACUUUGCAACAUCAAAACUCAGUUAUCACUAUAUCCACUUCAUUCACUAACUAUUGUUAAGAGUUCAUAAUUUGAAAUCCACGCUGCUAAUUCGCCAAAAGAGCACUUACCGUUUCUCAUCACCACACGAGGAACUUUGAAAAGCACACCCUUUUCUGCACAGUUUAGGGAGAUCGAAGUCAUGUUUACGCAACACUUCCUUCUCGAUUAUCACAAGACAUGUUUUUGAUUCCAAUUCCCGUAUUAGCACGUCAGUUGAAAUUAAAAAGUUAGCAAUACUGGAUACCUUAUAUGUUGCAACUUUCCUGACGCGAGAAUCCUAGACAGAUAUUUUAAGUCAUCCCCAUAUUUAUCGAUUAUUGGAAGGAAUUGCCUAAUCAAUAUGAAUUGUAACUUAUUUUUACUUGACAUUAUGUACACCUAGAAAAUUUCCGCAAAUACCGUAAUCUGAUUGCAUUUAAGGAAAACUAUCUGCCAAUUAUAGCAAGCAAUUUGAAAUAGUUGUACAAUGAUAACAAGAAAAAUCACUUCGUUUAAGGUUAGCAAGCCCACCAGAAGAGCGAGACUGAUAAUCAUGACAAUUAACAAAUUAUAACAAUACAAAGAGCCACUGAAUCAUUAGUACUUACUAGGGUUGGUCAUGUUCAUGCCCACUGUGCACUGUCACUGUAUCCCUUUCUAGAAUUUGUUUUGGGUUGACCGCUCAUUUACUUUUUACCAGGAAGUAAAAUAGAGAUCAAAAUAAGAUAAGUCUUAACCGUGCCAAGGAACCCAUACGAAACAAGGAAAUAAAAUAGGCGACACACUUGUUAGUCAAAAAAUAAAAUAAUUCAUUGAUUCCACUGAAUGACGGCUAGUUUUUUCGAUACACGAGCGGCAUUCACAGUUAAUCAAGCUAACAUGAGCUAAUCAUGAUUGUAGAUGCCUGUGAUUCGGUCGAUCGGGGCGCAAAAACUGUACACGUACGUAAAAACAUAGAAAUUGAUUUGAAGGAAAGCCCACAUAAGGGAAAAGGUUGCACACCAUGACUGUACAGUUCCGAAAAUGUUUCGGCUCUAGACAAAGGAACAGCUUAUUCAAUUUCGAACUAAUACACGAUGAUUCCACGAGUUCUUCCACAUGAGAUAUGGACCCUGCUCGAAGAGCAUACUAGAUUUAUACAACGUCAUGUUCUGACGACUUAAAUAACGCUAUGUCCCCAUCCCCCCCUCCCGCCAAGUUUCUACUUCUUGCGAAUCUGACUGGCGAUCCAUUCUAGUCCUUGGUACAACCUGAUUCGGAUAACAAGACAAAAAUAAUUAAUUAAUUCUUAUAAUAUCUGGUUCUAAAAUAUAACAAAGUAAAAAAUGCAUACCCUUCACCAGUGAGGGCACAACAUGCUUGAAUUUGCCACUUAUGUUUCUUUAUGGAAGUCAGGUUAAGAUGGCGAGAAAUUUCUGCAGCAGACAUGGAACCCUUGACAUCUUGUUUGUUGGCCAAAACCAAUACAGCACAUUGAUGGAGCUCUUCAUGUGCUAGAAUCUUAUGUAACUCUUGUCUGGUAAUGCUUAACCUUUCCCUAUCAGUUGAAUCCACAACUAAAAUUACAAACUACAAAAACAGAAAACAAAAAACAAAAAAUCUAAAUUUUAAGAAAUGAAAUUGUGUAAAAAUAAAAAAAUACCUCUGUGUUGGUAUAAUAAGUAUUCCAUGCAGCUCUCAAUGAUUCUUGCCCACCAAGAUCCCACAUAAUGAAAUGAAUAUUCUUCCAUACCACUUCUUCCACAUUUGAACCAAUCGUUGGUGAUGUGUGUACAACUUCAUUCAUAAGGAACUGAUAAAGAAUAGUUGUCUUUCCAGCAUUAUCCAGUCCGACUAGAACAAUCUUGUGUUCUGCAUUUAAAAUUUUUAAACAAUUAUAUCAGUAUUCAGGUUAGCCACUAUAUCAAGGUGUUGACUGAUUCAACUGACCCCAAUCAAAGAAAAUUUACAUAUAGGUUAUAGAAGGUUUAGUGACUUUCUCCGAAAUGUUAAAUGGCCAAAAUAAUAGCUGUUUUGAUUUUUGUUACCUUCAUUUCCGAAAAGAUUCCACAGUUUGGCAAGCAGAAUUCCCAUUGUUGUUGACGUGCGAGUGUGAAAUUAAAGAGUGGAUCAGAACAAGGGACAACCAGAACUUUGAAGAUUCAAGGAGAGCCUAUGCUUGGUUCACAAAGGAGACGACAGUGACAGGAUUUCAAAGCAGAAUGCACAGAAUGGGAAUGUACAGCGACCUUGAGAGGACUUGACCUGAUUAAAGACCCCCCUUAUACAGUCUCCUGCCCCCUUCCCUGUUGUGGAAGCAAUCAGUUGGGCUUCACUUUCAAACAGCUUCCGCCCUUUUCUUUUGCUACUUGGAUCAAAUUCAGCUUGUUCAACCUUCAAAAAUGAGUUCUUGAAGCAGCAGUGCGGGUGGAGAAGUUUGAAGCAAGUCCCCAGCUUUUGCUGGUGAGAAUCGAUCACUGAAGAAGAGUGCGAUAUGGUGUAGCCAAAUCAGCGACCCAACGUAAAAUGACCACAUGAGCAGGAUUACGUUAAACGAGAAAUAAGAAAGUCGUGGCAAAAGAGUUCGAUAUACUAAAUACCAAAUGCACCAACAUGCUACACGAAAUUGUGGUUAUGUGAAAGUACCGACAACAGUUGCUCAAACUGACGUCACGAUUAGAAAGUAAGACACAGAUUUUUCGUUAACCCAACCAACUUCCAGUUCCAGCACUCUAUUACAGCUAGCUCAAGCCAAAUCUGAACAGGGCCAUCUAGCGUUUAUUAAAAGAGAUAUUUCGCAUACGAACUUGGGUGGAAAAGAUGGCUCCCGCAACAGCCAAUGGCUGUUAAAUCAUAAAACAAAAACAGUUUUCUCUAUAUUUAUUUUUAAAAAAUUUCAACGCAAUGACAAGUUGGUCACAGUCAUUCAAUACAACUUUAACUAACAGCCCGUCGAUAUGUUACGUCCGAUUAUGUCCGUCGUGGACGUCGAGAUAAGUUUAUUCCUGUUCCUGACGUAUUACCUAGCGCCAUUGCGCAUCACGAUGAGUUGAAAAAAGAUAAAGAGUUGUAUCUUGAAUUUCAAAUAUUACAUGCAAAAUUGUCGUAAAUAUGACCGUGAACAAAUUCAACAACUCUUUUAAGGGAAGGAAGUAACUGUAUUAAUAAUCCUCAUAUAUCACCCAAAUUAAUAAUAAAAAUCUUUGAAAGUAAUUCGUCCGUAACUGUAAUGUGGAAUUUUCACACGACGAAGCUUUUUCAUUUCCGAAAUUCGAUUUAAGAAGUAAAUAAUAAAAAAUACAUUUACUCUUGGGUUAUGGCAAUCGAUUUUUUAUAUGCGACAGCAGCCUCACGAACUCGAGGAAUAAGAUUUUCCAUCUUCUGGCGAACUGUUUCAAGUAGUUCUUCAUCCCCUUUGCUUGUUAGUUCUUGAAUGACCAAACCUGCUCAAACACAAAAUAGACGUCAACCCUACAUUCGUUUGAUAGAAAGCAUGAUAAAUGUAAAUAGAAUUACCCUGCAAUUCAGACAGCAAUUCUCCAAUAGACUGCGGUAAGUGCGAUUGGAGGAAACUGAUAAUAUACGGGACAAACCGGCCUGAAGCAUUCAGAACGGUUUGGGUAACAGUAUGGAAAAGCAAAAGAACGGCCACAUGCAAGACUAAGGCAGCAUCUUGUGCUGCAUUAAGCUGUUCGAUUAGCACGUGACGUUGCUGGAUAGGGAUUGUCUUGUCUUUCUUUUUGUCCGCUUUGCGCAAGACGACAUCACAGGCUGUAAGGGCCACAUCGGCUUCUGAAAGAAAUUCUUCGAUGAUUGAUCCUUGGCUAGCUUUGUGAAGUCCUUGAAGCGGUACUCGUAUAUUCUGCGGCAAACCAUUGAUUAUCUUUUGACGUGCCUUUUUGCAAAUGACCACCAAAGGAGAGUGUUACAACCACUAAGUAGUAGAAUGAGCAAAUUGUAAUAUAGGAUACCUCAAGAGACAGAUCUUUCGAAUCGUUUGCGACGUUAGUAUCCUGGGAUACGUACGAAACCAAUUCAUUAACUAACUCUGAUCCAGCUGUUUUCAGUAGGUGGCGACUAAGCUGCUGCUGUAUAUCUAAUGAAGCAAAGAACUGAAUCGCCUUCUCACCCUACAAUUCAAACAGGUUUCAACAUGUUGGUGAAAGAAUGCCACAAAAUAGCCAUACCUGUUUUAUAUUUUGCAAUAACAACUGCACUUUAUUUUGCAAUUCGCUGUGGGUCUGGCGUCUUUGGCCCGAUGUUGCUGAUAGUACUGCUUCAAACGCCAGCCGGGCUGCCUCUUGGAAAGAAGACUGCAAUGAUCUAGAGAUAAUGAAAGCAAGUACAAUAACCAAUCUUGAGUCUAACGAGCAGAAAUAUGCUUCUCUUUACGGAUAAAGACGCUGUGCAAUGUCUUCGACGAACUCAUCGGGUGCAUCAGACAAACUUUCCUGUUUUCUCAGAACAUUAGAAAUUUUAUCAAGGGACAUGAACUGAAGUUCGGUAGAUGCAGAACUACUUCCUCCGACAAAUUCUUCUUCCCCCUCAUCAUCAGAGUCAUUUUUCCCCUUCUGAUACUUUUUUUUAGUAGCCCUAGUUUUUGUUUCUCUGCCCUGCAAAGAAAAAUAUAUUUUGCAGUUAAAGAAUGUCAAAUGAAUUAAGUCAAGUUUCAAUAACCUGGGUGCCACCACCAAGUUUGCCUUCGUUAGCUUUUUUCCUUCGUUCAUCUUUUCGAUCUUUUUUUUCGUUGCUCUGCUCUGGUUUGAAUGAUUUUUCCUUGGCGUUACGCUGAUCUGCAAGAGCUUGGAGAUAGUCUCCAGAUGCCACAACCUACACGAAAAAAUUUUCCUUAUUUCUCGUAACUUCUAACUUAUGGUCAAAUAGAAACAGAUACCUCACUGGCUUUUUCUUCAAUCAUUGGCUUAAAUAUAAGUCUCAGGUUUUGGACGUACGCAUUACUUGUUACUGCUGAAUGUCCAAUCACAAGUGCAUCUUUUCCAGGUAAAUUCUGGCUGUUCUUUAACACGUGCUGAAUAAUUUGUUCAGCAUCUUCUUCGUCAAAUACACUGGGCAGCAGGGGCUAAUGAAAUAUUAUAAAUCACACCCAUAAAUAGUUUAGGUACGCUGUUUGCAAUUUACCAGCACUUCCACCCAAGAUUGGGAAACAAGAGCUUCUUCGACUGCAGCCUCUAUUUGCUGUAAAAUGUAACUACCGACGCAACAACUUGAGAGAUAGAGAAGAGAGGUUUCUCUGAAACGUUUCCGGCAGAAGCUUUUAGGAUCACCUAAACCUAGUCGGGUAAGUGCUGCGUAUUCUGUAAAGAAAAAUCUCAAAAGUUAAAUUACGAUUAUGAAACGUUUCUACGCAAUUUGCGUACCAAGAUAACCGUUCUGUUUCAGGAAAUUGUCGAUCCAUUCGUUCUGCGACCGUGAAUGAACAUCAGGUAUGAAUGUAGCUACAUUGGCUUGUCUGCCUCCGCUUAACGAUGCUUGAAUUCGUUUCGUGCUGAUCAGCUCAUCGGCAACAGC